rnacentral:misc_RNA from 1 species
AAACUGCGAUAAGUAGUGUGAAUUGCAUUUAGUGAAUCAUCGAAUCUUUGAACGCACCCUGCACUCACUGGUAUUCCGGUGAGUACACCUGUUUCAGUAUCAUUGAAAACACACAAUCAAAACAUUUUCUUUGGUUUGAUUGGCUUUGGGUCUAUCAAAAAGUUUGGCUUGUUUCUUACAAGCCAAGCGGCCUGAAAUAUAUUGUCUGGCUAAUUGCAUCGUUGAUGAUCGCUAUUAGACUUUGGCUUUUUUAAAUGAACUGGAGGUUGAUUAACCAGUUUUAGCUUUAGUCAAAUGGUCAUUGUAAAAAAAAUCUCGAUCUUGGCUAGGUGUUUAUAGCCGAAAAUUUUUUUUUGGCUAUAACCGAAACCAAUAUAAUCACAUUUAGUUAUCGAUCUGAAAUCAGGUGGGACUACCCGCUGAACUUAAGC